UGGGGAAUCUUAGACAAUGGGGGAAACCCUGAUCUAGCGAUGCCGCGUGUGUGACGAAGGCCUUAGGGUCGUAAAGCACUUUCGCCAAGGAUGAUAAUGACAGUACUUGGUAAAGAAACCCCGGCUAACUCCGUGCCAGCAGCCGCGGUAAUACGGAGGGGGUUAGCGUUGUUCGGAAUUACUGGGCGUAAAGCGCACGUAGGCGGAUAUUUAAGUUAGAGGUGAAAUCCCAGGGCUCAACCCUGGAACGGCCUUUAAUACUGGAUGUCUUGAGUUCGAGAGAGGUAAGUGGAAUUCCAAGUGUAGAGGUGAAAUUCGUAGAUAUUUGGAGGAACACCAGUGGCGAAGGCGGCUUACUGGCUCGAUACUGACGCUGAGGUGCGAAAGCGUGGGGAGCAAACA
rnacentral:rRNA from 1 species